rnacentral:tRNA from 2 species
AGCGGGGUGGAGCAGUCCGGUAGCUCGUUGGGCUCAUAACCCAAAGGUCGCAGGUUCAAAUCCUGUCCCCGCAACCA